UAACAUGGGUGCAAUAGAUAGAAAACGAGGCAGCCGGGUUUGUACAAUUGUGAGCUUUGCUUGGCGUCUUCCUUUCUUCUUCCCUUUCUUUGUGAGUUGCAACCAUUGUCACCUUCUUUUGUGUAAAAUCCUUUGUGGAAUUGAAUCUUUUGUCGGCUAGGAAAUAAGAGGCAUCACAAGUAUUUUGGGUUGGAGUAACCUCGUGGUCGAGCAAAUUGAGCUUGCUUUGCACAGUAUUGAAGAUUACUUGGGAGCUAUUUUGAUUGACAAUUGGUAUCAGAGCGGAGGUUGG
rnacentral:lncRNA from 1 species